ensembl:lncRNA LINC02693 long intergenic non-protein coding RNA 2693
GGGGCAUGCGCUGUGCGCCCGGCCGGCGUGGCUGGCUGUUUGAGGACUGCGCGCGGAGCUCCGUGGCGGGUGUCUGAAGUCGUGAGUUUACUGCUUGUAAGGAACAUAGCGAUCACUGGGAACCUGGAAGUAGAGACUCCUUUCUGCCAUCCAUCCGUCCCUCGGGCUGCUGCGAAUCCCCCCGCCGGCCUCCAGGACCCCGGGCUGACUGAACGCCCGCACCGGUCCCGCCGCCCCAGGGCCCGCUACGCGCCCGGCAUAAUGGGAGAAAAAUCACGACGGAAAGGCCCAGCCCCUCGCCAUGCAGACGGGAAGCUUGGCCGCACGUGUGAUCACCCUUACGCCCCUUGGAGUUUCACCCCCUCUUCGCGGGCUCCAACAGCCUGGGUCAGGCCUCCUUGUCCUGUGUGGGCCUCUCGGCUGCAAGAACACAGUCCCGAGCCCCGGCGAGCCCGCGCGCCUCCCACCCGCCGUGCACAGGCUGCACUUUACGCCCCAGCACUGCGCCUGCGGGACCAUCUGGAUCGCUUUUCCAUUCUGAUGACGUCCUGUACUUCGUGGCUGCAGGCUCCUCAAGCCCCAGGUCUGUGCAGAGACGAGCAAAGCAGCAGAAUAUCCGUGCCACAGCUUUCUGGAGCACCCAUUUUACUACCAGAUUUGGAAGGAACGAAGUUAAGUAAUUUCCAAGAAUCAUCUCCCCUGCCCCACAAACAUGAAAGAAAAGACAAGAGAAGCACCCCAGAAGAGGAGGGGAGAAGUGCCCCAGAAAAAAUCAUCCAGUCUCUGAAGCUUUGCCCAGAAACUAUGAAAAUACAUUGCAAGAAUGCAACAUGCAGCACAGCAGAGAAGGGGCUGUCUGCAAAGAUAAAGGGCUGGAGGGAAGUUUUCUAAGGUUGUGCUGGACGGCGCUAUGUGCAGGCCUCCCCCGACGCCCUUCUCUCCUCGCCUUUCCCCCUUCUCCUCUCCCAAAUUCUAGUUGCCCAUCUGCUUGGUUGGGCUGCUGGUCGAUCUGAUCAGCUUUCUGAGGCCACAUCAAAACUGCAGAAAUGAGGCUGAUCGACCCAGCAACUCUAACAAAGAUCAUCCAUGGGACAUCUGGUCGCCCCUCUAUCUCGGAGCCAGAGGCUAUACGCUCUUCCCCGGUGGGGAGGGUGGGGCCCCAAAGUCCAACCACAAGAUCCCAUUAUGCGGGCCACGGCUAAAUCCACUGCGCCUUCCCCGUUUUUCUCGUACUGCCCAAGCCAGUCUCCACCUCCAAAACAAGACUCAGAAAAAGGUGUGAAGCUCAAGUCGGAUGACCAUGACCCACGCGUGGCCACGGACGGGCCCAUGCUACCCUUCGCAGUCCUCCUGGAACAGCCGGGCCGGUCCUCACCUCCGGGUCGGGGCUUGGAGAUAAUGGGUGUAAUGGAAGGCCUGAGGACCGGGCCCCACGCCAGUCAGCGUCCGGGCGGGAUACCCCAUCCCCCGUUCACACUCUCGGAAGGCCCAGCGAUUCCCGCGUGUACUAAUUGACCCGCUCAGGCCACAGCACUCCGAGCUCAAGAGCGCGCCUACAACGCUGACCCUCAGGUUUAAUCUCCGACGAAAGGACGAAGAGUACACCCAGCAAAGCCGGGCUCAUCCUGCCAGCGCUGCCAGUCCCCUGGAACUCUGCACCGCGCCCUGUGGCCAAAUCCCCUUUCUUGCCGGCUUCGCCAGAGCGCCGGAGAGAAAACCUUAACAGUGCAGCCAGGUGGCGCCCGACAGCCGGCGCCAGCGGCCGCGGAUCGGAUCCGCAUCUCCGGCGGGCGAGGCCUCUCCUAGUCCCUGACCAACUGGGAUCGCGUUUCUCGGCCUGGGGCGGGUGAAGGAGCUCCCAGUUGGCACCGCCUGGAAUGGCGCGACCCCGCAGCCGAAGGAGACUUGAAAAUUUUUCCUAACUACCGUUCUGCUCCGAGUGACUGCUACCUGCGAGGACAGACAGCCCACGCGGCUCCGGGCCGGGCGAUCUUCCGCGGGAACCGGGAACGUUUCCGAAGACCCCCGCAGGCCGGCGCCCUGCCUCGGCUUCCCAGCGCAGCGGGGUCCCGGGCUCCUCGCGGAUUAGAAAGUUUUGCUGGGCUCUGGCGGCGGGAGAGACAGUGAAGUUGAAACCGUGAAAGGGAGAACAUGGGUGAAUCGCUUUUAUUCUGUCUUUUCGGAAUGGGGAAGCCUUUCUAAAGCAUUAAAUAAACCCAGAAGCCAUCAAGGAAAUGAUUGAUCGGCUUGACAACAUAAAGUUUGAACAAAAUACACAAGCAAAGUCAAAAGAUAACAAAUGAGUGUGGGGAUCGCUUAUGCAUAAGAUAAGAAUAUUGAUUUCAUUCACAGUAGCCAAGAUACGGAAGCAACCUAGCCAAGAUAUGGAAGCAUCUACUAGUGGCUGAACGGAUAAAGAAAAUGUGGUGUAUGUACACCACGGGGUACUGUCCCGCCUUUGAAUAAAAGGAAAUCCUGCCAUUGGCGACAACAUGGAUGAACGUGGAGGUCAUUGUACUAAGAAAAGUAAGCCAGGCACAGAAACAAAUACCACCUGGUCUCUCCUGUAUGUGGAAUCUGAAAAUAGUUGAACUCAUAGAAACGGAGAGUAGAACGGUGGCUACUUGAGGCCGGGGGAAGGGCAGGAGGGGGAAGAUGUUAGUCAAAGGGUACAAGGAUUCAGUUAGACAAGAGGAAUAUGUUUUAGUGAUCCACAUGGCACGGUGACUGUAGUUAAUGCAUUUUAUAUGUCAAAAUUCCUUAAAUAGUAGAUUUUAAAUAAUCUCACCACAAAAAAAUAGAUGUGUUGGUGAUGGAUAUCUUAAUUAGCUUAAAGUAAUUGUUCCACCAAUGUAUACAUAUAUCAAAACAUCACAUUGUAUCCCAUGAAUAUAUACAAUUAUGAUUUGUCAAUU